rnacentral:lncRNA from 1 species
AAACGCUGACUCCUAACAUCUGCCAGUUUCCGUGGUGUAGAUACUCCCGCCAGGGCCCAUUUCAAGCUCUGAGAGUGAUGUAAGCAGAGGAGGGGUGCCUGCAGGCACCUAUCCAGAGCCAAUUCCAGCUCCAGCACCCCACUGGGCGGCCAGAGAGGUUCCCGCGUACCAGGCUCCCGCCUCCGCACCUCACGUGCAUGAGCUCAUGGAAUCCUCAUCACGGCUCUACCGCACAGCUGCUUCUCUUGCCUCUGUUCCGCAGAUGGGGAAACUGAGGCACAGACAGUCUGGCUCUGGCACCUGACCACACUAUACUGCCUCUCUUUCUUGUGCUUAAAAUCAAACCCAAACGCCUCACUGUGGCGACAAGAGCUAGGCUGCAUCCCUGCAUUCGUCUCCUUCCCCAUCGUGUGUCCCACACGCACUCCUACACGCCCUUCUGGUCACACCUGGCUCCUCCUAGCACUUGUUCCUCUGCACCAUGCUGCUGGCCUUUGCCCCUUGGUUCCCUCUGCCCGGAAGGCUCUUCUCCAGCUCUGAGGUGCCGGCUUAAAGGUCACCUCCCCGGAGAGCCUUCCCUGACCACCCAUUUGCCUCUCUUUCACCUCUAUCUCUUUCCUUCCUUCCCAGUGCGUCUCACAACCAGUAGUGUUCUAUUUAUUUGCCUAACUGUUGAGCAGCGGUUCUCAGUGGGGGACAGCGGGCCAAGGGGCGAGUUGAUAUUGCAGUUGGUAAAGUCUUGAGACAUACUCAGUUUGUUGUCACAACUCAGGCACUUCAGUGACAGAGACUGGAUUUCCACACCGCAGUCCAUCAAAACUAAUCAGUUGGCUGUGUUCCAUCGCUCAGCAACUGACAGCUUCACCAGGAUGGAUGAGCCCUAAAUCCAAUGACAAGUGUCUCUAGAUGAAAAGAAAAGGGGAGGAGACACAGAAGAAAAGGCAGUAGAAGAUGGAGACAGAAUUGGAGUGAUGCAUCUACAAACCAAGGAACACCAAAGAUUGCAGCAACCCCCAGAAGCUGGAAGAGGCAAGGAAAGAUUCUGCCCUGGAGCCUUGAGAGGGAGCAUGGCCCUUCCAAGACCUUGACUUUGAACUUCUGGCCUGCAGAACUGUGGGAGAAUAAAUUUCUGCUGUUUUAAGACACCGAGUUUGUGGUACUUUGUUACAGAAGCCCUAGGAGACUAACACCGUCUCCUUCUAUCUUCUCUUUGUAUCACCUUUCAUUCGUGCACAUCUGACCGCUCUCUGGGCAUCCUCUCAUUUCUCUGGGGGUGGCGGGUGUCCUACACAGAGCUUUGCAUCCAGCUCCUGCUUCUUAUUACCUGGCUGUUUCUGGUUCAGUUACUUUGCCUUCCUGAGCCUCCAUUUCUUCAUGCGCU